UGGGGAAUAUUGCACAAUGGGCGAAAGCCUGAUGCAGCAACGCCGCGUGAGCGAUGAAGGCCUUCGGGUCGUAAAGCUCUGUCCUAAAGGAAGAAUUUUGACGGUACUUUAGGAGGAAGCCCCGGCUAAUUACGUGCCAGCAGCCGCGGUAAUACGUAAGGGGCUAGCGUUAUCCGGAAUUACUGGGCGUAAAGGGUACGUAGGCGGUUUAUUAAGUCAGGGGUGAAAGGCUACGGCUCAACCGUAGUAAGCCUUUGAAACUGAUAAACUUGAGUAUGGUAGAGGAAAGUGGAAUUCCUGGUGUAGCGGUGAAAUGCGUAGAUAUCAGGAGGAACAUCGAUGGCGAAGGCAGCUUUCUGGGCCAUUACUGACGCUGAGGUACGAAAGCGUGGGGAGCGAACAGG
rnacentral:rRNA from 1 species